UUCGACUUCAUGAAGCUGGAAUUGCUAGUAAUGGCAGGUCAGCAUACUGCCGUGAAUACGUUCCCGGGCCUUGUACACACCGCCCGUCACACCAUGAGAGUUGGGGAUACCCGAAGCCUGUGAGCCAACUAUAUAGAGGCAGCAGUCGAAGGUAGAAUCAAUGAUUGGGGUGAAGUCGUAACAAGGUAUC
rnacentral:rRNA from 1 species